rnacentral:rRNA from 1 species
GACGAACGCUGGCGGCGUGCCUAAUACAUGCAAGUUGAGCGCUGAAGGUUGGUACUUGUCCCAACUGGAUGAGCAGCGAACGGGUGAGUAACGCGUGGGGAAUCUGCCUUUGAUCGGGGGACAACAUUUGGAAACGAAUGCUAAUACCGCAUAAAAACUUUAAACACAAGUUUUAAGUUUGAAAGAUGCAAUUGCAUCACUCAAAGAUGAUCCCGCGUUGUAUUAGCUAGUUGGUGAGGUAAAGGCUCACCAAGGCGAUGAUACAUAGCCGACCUGAGAGGGUGAUCGGCCACAUUGGGACUGAGACACGGCCCAAACUCCUACAGGAGGCAGCAGUAGGGAAUCUUCGGCAAUGGACGAAAGUCUGACCGGGCAACGCCGCGUGAGUGAAGAGGAUUUUCGGAUCGUAAAACUCUGUUGGUAGGGAAGAACGUUGGUGAGAGUGGAAAGCUCAUCAAGUGACGGUAACUACCCAGAAAGGGACGGCUAACUACGUG